rnacentral:rRNA from 1 species
GAAGGUGUACUGUGAGGUAUGCUGGAGGUAUCAGAAGUGCGAAUGCUGACAUAAGUAACGAUAAAGCGGGUGAAAAGCCCGCUCGCCGGAAGACCAAGGGUUCCUGUCCAACGUUAAUCGGGGCAGGGUGAGUCGACCCCUAAGGCGAGGCCGAAAGGCGUAGUCGAUGGGAAACAGGUUAAUAUUCCUGUACUUGGUGUUACUGCGAAGGGGGGACGGAGAAGGCUAUGUUGGCCGGGCGACGGUUGUCCCGGUUUAAGCGUGUAGGCUGGUUUUCCAGGCAAAUCCGGAAAAUCAAGGCUGAGGCGUGAUGACGAGGCACUACGGUGCUGAAGCAACAAAUGCCCUGCUUCCAGGAAAAGCCUCUAAGCAUCAGGUAACAUCAAAUCGUACCCCAAACCGACACAGGUGGUCAGGUAGAGAAUACCAAGGCGCUUGAGAGAACUCGGGUGAAGGAACUAGGCAAAAUGGUGCCGUAACUUCGGGAGAAGGCACGCUGAUAUGUAGGUGAAGUCCCUCGCGGAUGGAGCUGAAAUCAGUCGAAGAUACCAGCUGGCUGCAACUGUUUAUUAAAAACACAGCACUGUGCAAACACGAAAGUGGACGUAUACGGUGUGACGCCUGCCCGGUGCCGGAAGGUUAAUUGAUGGGGUUAGCCGCAAGGCGAAGCUCUUGAUCGAAGCCCCGGUAAACGGCGGCCGUAACUAUAACGGUCCUAAGGUAGCGAAAUUCCUUGUCGGGUAAGUUCCGACCUGCACGAAUGGCGUAAUGAUGGCCAGGCUGUCUCCACCCGAGACUCAGUGAAAUUGAACUCGCUGUGAAGAUGCAGUGUACCCGCGGCAAGACGGAAAGACCCCGUGAACCUUUACUAUAGCUUGACACUGAACAUUGAGCCUUGAUGUGUAGGAUAGGUGGGAGGCUUUGAAGUGUGGACGCCAGUCUGCAUGGAGCCGACCUUGAAAUACCACCCUUUAAUGUUUGAUGUUCUAACGUUGACCCGUAAUCCGGGUUGCGGACAGUGUCUGGUGGGUAGUUUGACUGGGGCGGUCUCCUCCUAAAGAGUAACGGAGGAGCACGAAGGUUGGCUAAUCCUGGUCGGACAUCAGGAGGUUAGUGCAAUGGCAUAAGCCAGCUUGACUGCGAGCGUGACGGCGCGAGCAGGUGCGAAAGCAGGUCAUAGUGAUCCGGUGGUUCUGAAUGGAAGGGCCAUCGCUCAACGGAUAAAAGGUACUCCGGGGAUAACAGGCUGAUACCGCCCAAGAGUUCAUAUCGACGGCGGUGUUUGGCACCUCGAUGUCGGCUCAUCACAUCCUGGGGCUGAAGUAGGUCCCAAGGGUAUGGCUGUUCGCCAUUUAAAGUGGUACGCGAGCUGGGUUUAGAACGUCGUGAGACAGUUCGGUCCCUAUCUGCCGUGGGCGCUGGAGAACUGAGGGGGGCUGCUCCUAGUACGAGAGGACCGGAGUGGACGCAUCACUGGUGUUCGGGUUGUCAUGCCAAUGGCACUGCCCGGUAGCUAAAUGCGGAAGAGAUAAGUGCUGAAAGCAUCUAAGCACGAAACUUGCCCCGAGAUGAGUUCUCCCUGACCCUUUAAGGGUCCUGAAGGAACGUUGAAGACGACGACGUUGAUAGGCCGGGUGUGUAAGCGCAGCGAUGCGUUGAGCUAACCGGUACUAAUGAACCGUGAGGCUUAACCUU